CUUCCGCCCUCCCCGCACAGGAGGACGGAUCGAGGUAAGCCGCGCGCUCUGCCCUGACCGCGCAGGCACCUCCCACGGCCGCGGGAACCGCACACCCUCGGCCGUAAGUACUCCGGGCUACGGUGCCGGACGGGUUGAGGGUCCCGUCGGGCAC
rnacentral:ncRNA from 1 species